UUACAAUUAAAGGAUAUUUCUCGUGAUCGCAAAAACAUCGGAAAUAUCUUUUAAUUGUUUGGU
rfam:Tetraodon nigroviridis, WGS project CAAE01000000 data, contig: CNS0BY5V, chromosome: undetermined